rnacentral:rRNA from 1 species
CACGUGAGUAACCUGCCCUUGACUCUGGGAUAAGCCUGGGAAACUGGGUCUAAUACCGGAUAUGACUCCUCAUCGCAUGGUGGGGGGUGGAAAGCUUUUGUGGUUUUGGAUGGACUCGCGGCCUAUCAGCUUGUUGGUGGGGUAAUGGCCUACCAAGGCGACGACGGGUAGCCGGCCUGAGAGGGUGACCGGCCACACUGGGACUGAGACACGGCCCAGACUCCUACGGGAGGCAGCAGUGGGGAAUAUUGCACAAUGGGCGCAAGCCUGAUGCAGCGACGCCGCGUGAGGGAUGACGGCCUUCGGGUUGUAAACCUCUUUCAGUAGGGAAGAAGCGUAAGUGACGGUACCUGCAGAAGAAGCGCCGGCUAACUACGUGCCAGCAGCCGCGGUAAUACGUAGGGCGCAAGCGUUAUCCGGAAUUAUUGGGCGUAAAGAGCUCGUAGGCGGUUUGUCGCGUCUGCUGUGAAAGACCGGGGCUCAACUCCGGUUCUGCAGUGGGUACGGGCAGACUAGAGUGCAGUAGGGGAGACUGGAAUUCCUGGUGUAGCGGUGAAAUGCGCAGAUAUCAGGAGGAACACCGAUGGCGAAGGCAGGUCUCUGGGCUGUAACUGACGCUGAGGAGCGAAAGCAUGGGGAGCGAACAGGAUUAGAUACCCUGGUAGUCCAUGCCGUAAACGUUGGGCACUAGGUGUGGGGGACAUUCCACGUUUUCCGCGCCGUAGCUAACGCAUUAAGUGCCCCGCCUGGGGAGUACGGCCGCAAGGCUAAAACUCAAAGGAAUUGACGGGGGCCCGCACAAGCGGCGGAGCAUGCGGAUUAAUUCGAUGCAACGCGAAGAACCUUACCAAGGCUUGACAUGAACCGGAAAGACCUGGAAACAGGUGCCCCGCUUGCGGUCGGUUUACAGGUGGUGCAUGGUUGUCGUCAGCUCGUGUCGUGAGAUGUUGGGUUAAGUCCCGCAACGAGCGCAACCCUCGUUCUAUGUUGCCAGCGGUUCGGCCGGGGACUCAUAGGAGACUGCCGGGGUCAACUCGGAGGAAGGUGGGGACGACGUCAAAUCAUCAUGCCCCUUAUGUCUUGGGCUUCACGCAUGCUACAAUGGCCGGUACAAAGGGUUGCGAUACUGUGAGGUGGAGCUAAUCCCAAAAAGCCGGUCUCAGUUCGGAUUGGGGUCUGCAACUCGACCCCAUGAAGUCGGAGUCGCUAGUAAUCGCAGAUCAGCAACGCUGCGGUGAAUACGUUCCCGGGCCUUGUACACACCGCCCGUCAAGUCACGAAAGUUGGUAACACCCGAAGCCGGUGGCCUAACCCUUGU